rnacentral:tRNA from 1 species
GCAGUGGCUCAAUGGUAGAGCAUCUGCUUGGCAUGCUGAAAGUCCUAGGUUCAAUCCCUGGCACCUCCA